GUCCACGCCCUAAACUAUGGAUGCUAGCUGUUGGUCGUAUCGACCCGAUCAGUAGCGAAGCUAACGCGUUAAGCAUCCCGCCUGUGGAGUACGAGCGCAAGCUUAAAACAUAAAGGAAUUGACGGGGACCCGCACAAGCGGUGGAGCGUGUUGUUUAAUUCGAUGAUAAGCGAAGAACCUUACCCAGGAUUGACAUCCUUGGAAUUUUGCCGAAAGGCGAGAGUGCUUUUAUUAGAGCCAAGUGACAGGUGUUGCAUGGCCGUCGU
rnacentral:rRNA from 1 species